ACCCCAAUGGCCCAAUUACAACACCCAAUACCCAACAGCCCAAUAGCCCAAAAUCAUCAAAAAAUAGGAAAAAACCCUAACCCUAGCCUCUGACAGCCACUUGCGCCGCACCCAGGCCUGCUGGUCAACCACCCCACCGCCGUAGCCACCAACUGCUCUGCCACUUGCGCCGCGCACGUCCCAUCGUCCUCCAUCAGCCC
rnacentral:lncRNA from 1 species